UGGGGAAUAUUGGACAAUGGGCGAAAGCCUGAUCCAGCCAUGCCGCGUGUGUGAAGAAGGCCUUUUGGUUGUAAAGCACUUUAAGUGGGGAGGAAAAGCUUAUGGUUAAUACCCAUAAGCCCUGACGUUACCCACAGAAUAAGCACCGGCUAACUCUGUGCCAGCAGCCGCGGUAAUACAGAGGGUGCAAGCGUUAAUCGGAAUUACUGGGCAUAAAGCGCGCGUAGGUGGUUAUUUAAGUCAGAUGUGAAAGCCCCGGGCUUAACCUGGGAACUGCAUCUGAUACUGGAUAACUAGAGUAGGUGAGAGGGGAGUAGAAUUCCAGGUGUAGCGGUGAAAUGCGUAGAGAUCUGGAGGAAUACCGAUGGCGAAGGCAGCUCCCUGGCAUCAUACUGACACUGAGGUGCGAAAGCGUGGGUAGCAAACAGGAUUAGAUACCCUGGUAGUCCACGCCGUAAACGAUGUCUACCAGUCGUUGGGUCUUUUAAAGACUUAGUGACGCAGUUAACGCAAUAAGUAGACCGCCUGGGGAGUACGGCCGCAAGGUUA
rnacentral:rRNA from 1 species